rnacentral:rRNA from 1 species
CCUACGGGCGGCAGCAGUGAGGAAUAUUGGUCAAUGGGCGCGAGCCUGAACCAGCCAAGUAGCGUGAAGGAUGACUGCCCUACGGGUUGUAAACUUCUUUUAUAAAGGAAUAAAGUGAGGCACGUGUGCCGUUCUGUGUGUACUUUAUGAAUAAGGAUCGGCUAACUCCGUGCCAGCAGCCGCGGUAAUACGGAGGAUUCGAGCGUUAUCCGGAUUUAUUGGGUUUAAAGGGAGCGUAGAUGGGUUGUUAAGUCAGUGGUGAAAGUUUGGGGCUCAACCGUCAAAUUGCCAUUGAUACUGGCAGUCUUGAGUACGGUUGAGGUAGGCGGAAUUCGUGGUGUAGCGGUGAAAUGCUUAGAUAUCACGCAGAACUCCGAUUGCGAAGGCAGCGUACUGACCUCCCACUGACAUUGAUGCUCGAAAGUGUGGGUAUCAAACAGGAUUAGAUACCCGAGUAGUC